UACGAAGGAUGCUAGCGUUACUCGGAAUUAUUGGGCGUAAAGAAUGCGUAGGCGGACUUGUAAGUUGAUGGUGAAAUUCCUGGGCUUAACCCGGGCGCUGCUGUCAAAACUGCAUGUCUUGAAUAUAUCAGAGAGUGAGGGAAUUUCUAGUGUAGGGGUAAAAUCCGUAGAUAUUAGAAGGAACACCGGAGGCGAAAGCGCUUACUUGGGAUAUUAUUGACGCUGAGGCAUGAAAGCGUGGGGAGCAAACAGG
rnacentral:rRNA from 1 species